UGGGGAAUAUUGCACAAUGGGCGAAAGCCUGAUGCAGCGACGCCGCGUGAAGGAUGAAGUAUUUCGGUAUGUAAACUUCUAUCAGCAGGGAAGAAAAUGACGGUACCUGACUAAGAAGCCCCGGCUAACUACGUGCCAGCAGCCGCGGUAAUACGUAGGGGGCAAGCGUUAUCCGGAUUUACUGGGUGUAAAGGGAGCGUAGACGGCUUGGCAAGUCUGAAGUGAAAGGCAAGGGCUCAACCUUUGGACUGCUUUGGAAACUGUCAGGCUAGAGUGUCGGAGAGGCAAGUGGAAUUCCUAGUGUAGCGGUGAAAUGCGUAGAUAUUAGGAGGAACACCAGUGGCGAAGGCGGCUUGCUGGACGAUGACUGACGUUGAGGCUCGAAAGCGUGGGGAGCAAACAGG
rnacentral:rRNA from 2 species